GUUGUUGACGCUGUUAAAUUUUAUUGGCAAUUUAUUUUUCUUGUACAGCAGAGAUUUCGUAGGAGAAAAUCGUCGGAUUUCCACCCGCACGGCAGGUGGGGAUCGCCAUCAGAAUGCCAUGUUAUGUAAGGAAUGUAAAAAUUCACGAAGAUAUAGCAUCAUAAUAAGUAUGUUUCUGAAGACAGCGUCAGAAUGCUUCUACGAGAUAGCAGCGCAGCAUGAUAGCUCUCUUAUUGUGGCUGCAAAUUACUUACCCGACCCAGACAACGGGGCAACAAACAGGCACCGCUUUGCCUACAGAUACAGUUCAUUGAGUUACUCGCCAGAUCUUUUCAGUGGGUCGCAAUUCCGAUCCAGAUUUAGCGAAGUACUGCUCUUGAGAGCAGGUGUUUCUUCGUGAAACAAAAAAGACGAAACAUUGUGCUAACGAUACUCCAAGGAAGAUACAAAUACUCUAAGAAAUAUUUAUGGAGGUUUUUCGGAAUGGAAUCCCCGAGGAACGCAGCACGACGCCUUGCCCUCUGAAAAUAAGGGAAAACACGUUUCAAAUCCCUUGCCACGUAUAAUUCUUAAUACUUGGAUUAUAGAAUGGCUUCUUAAAUCUUUGCAGAAAAAAGAUAACAAGCAAUUAGGGUUUGGUGAUAAAGCAAAUCGGCUUGCGGAGGAUCUCCGUUAAAAAUGCAGAGGAUUCAACUUUUUUUUUCUUAACGAACUUCAUUUUUAUAGUCGAUUGGUUUUAAUUUUAAGGUUAUAUUCUUCUCGUACAAAGUAGGUAAAUCAAAUGCCUGCUGUCUAUUCAGUAAUAAUAUAAUAAAUAAAGGACAGUAGAAGAGCUAUUGAUUAAAAUUUGCUGCUAUUCUCAACGGUGAAACCUGUUCGGGGUUGUUGUUAAACCUCUUGUGAUAUCAUUGUAAUACUAUUUAUACAUGUUAAUAUAAUAUUAUUUUCGAUUUUACAAGUACUUCACAGUUUUCAUGGUUAUAUACAAUUGUGUCGUUAAGCUGUAGAAGUUUCAUUAUAUUUACGAUACGCGAAAAAACCUCUAAAAAUAAUUUUAAUUAGAGCAGAAAUUUCGUUACGAAAUUUCUAAUUCUUUAAUCCUAAAUCAUAUAAUAUGACUUAUACAGGAUAUAUUGCAAUUAUGUUAAGGAAAUUGGUCGUGAAACAAUUAUGCAUGGACCUCUGUGGACAAAGCAACCUGUCUAUCCAUACAAAUAGAAAUUUCUUAUUUUAUUAUUUGCUUAUCUUAUUUUUCAUGGUCCUUUUAGUGUUGAAUGUCUUUUACAUUCUGAAACAUGAGAUCGUAAUCUCAGCUGCAUUAUAAAAUUUUGUACCUUUAAAUUGGAGCGCAUGACUCCAGUGCAUUCGUAUCUAGCGAUGCACCGGUGUUCGAAUCCCGUUGGCAAGUACCAAGUUUUUGAAUGAAAUCCGUACUUAACAAAUCGUACUUAACAAAUGUUCAUGAUUGACUUCCACGGUGAAAGAAAAACAUCGUGUGAUAAAACUCAAUAUCCGCAAAAUUAUAAUUUGCGUAAUUACUGGUCGUAAAACGGCUUGUGAGUCCGCAUGGGAGGGUUCCAUCACCCUGCCUAUUUCUGCCGUGAAGCAGUAAAGCGUUUCGAUUUGAAGGCAGGGGCAGCCGUUGUACUACAAAAACGGAGACCUUAGAACUCAUAUCUCAAGAUGGGUGGCGGCAUUUACGUUGUAGAUGUCUAUGGGCUUCGGUAACCACUUACAAAACGGCCAUGAGCUCGUCCACCCAUCUAAGAAAAAAGCUGUGUGGUGUCGUGGGACACCGGAUAGGAACGAAGUUCCUUAUUAUAAAAAUAUUAAUUGUAAGUUCUAUUCGAGGUAUAAAGAAAAUAAUUAUUCGGGAAUACAUUUUUAUUAUGAUUUAUUUAUUGAUAAAAAAAUACAAAAAUACUUUACAAAGUUAUCAACUUUAUUUUAUUCAUAAUGAUUCAUAAAAGGUAUAUAAUAAAAAUAUGUUAUUUUUUGUACGUUAUUACAAAGCUAAGUCGUACACUGUGUGCAUUACUAAUAAAAAUCUUACGUUA